ACUCCUACGGGAGGCAGCAGUAGGGAAUAUUGGUCAAUGGACGGAAGUCUGAACCAGCCAUGCCGCGUGCAGGAAGACGGCCUUCUGGGUUGUAAACUGCUUUUAUCAGGGAAGAAUAAGCUUCUUGCGAGAGGUGAUGCCGGUACCUGAGGAAUAAGCACCGGCUAACUCCGUGCCAGCAGCCGCGGUAAUACGGAGGGUGCAAGCGUUGUCCGGAUUUAUUGGGUUUAAAGGGUCCGUAGGCGGAUUAAUAAGUCAGUGGUGAAAUCCCAUCGCUUAACGAUGGAACUGCCAUUGAUACUGUUAGUCUUGAAUGAGGGUGCAGUGGUUGGAAUGUGUAGUGUAGCGGUGAAAUGCAUAGAUAUUACACAGAACACCGAUUGCGAAGGCAGAUCACUAACCCUAAAUUGACGCUGAGGGACGAAAGCGUGGGGAGCGAACAGGAUUAGAUACCCUGUAGGCUCUG
rnacentral:rRNA from 1 species